UACGGGGGGAGCAAGCGUUGUUCGGAUUUACUGGGCGUAAAGGGCGCGUAGGCGGCCUCCGCAAGUCAGUUGUGAAAUCUCCGAGCUUAACUCGGAAAGGUCAACUGAUACUGCGGGGCUAGAGUGCGGAAGGGGCAACCGGAAUUCUUGGUGUAGCGGUGAAAUGCGUAGAUAUCAAGAGGAACACCUGAGGUGAAGACGGGUUGCUGGGCUGACACUGACGCUGAGGCGCGAAAGCUAGGGUAGCAAACGGG
rnacentral:rRNA from 1 species